rnacentral:rRNA from 1 species
UGGGCCUACGGGGCGCAGCAGUAGGGAAUCUUCCACAAUGGACGAAAGUCUGAUGGAGCAACGCCGCGUGAGUGAAGAAGGGUUUCGGAUUGUAAACUGCUUUAGACAGGGAAGAUACAAGACAGUACCUGUAAAAUAAGCUCCGGCUAACUACGUGCCAGCAGCCGCGGUAAUACGUAGGGAGCAAGCGUUAUCCGGAUUUAUUGGGUGUAAAGGGUGCGUAGACGGGAAGGCAAGUUGGUUGUGAAAUCCCUCGGCUUAACUGAGGAACUGCAACCAAAACUAUCUUUCUUGAGUGCUGGAGA